UCAUAGUCUCGAUUGGCAAAAAAAGAAAAAAAAAAUCCUCAAAAUUAUCGAGAGCGCAUUCUUUCUGUCCCUAAUUUCUUUAGCCGGAAUACCAUAUACGGAAUGGACAAAAGAUCAGCUAAUAUUCCCCAGCUAGGAUGCCGCUUUGAUCAUCAGGGAUUAGCUCAGACCAUGAUCGGUGCACCGGCUGAAAAAAAGAUGAGUUGCCCUAGCACAAAAUACAUGCCGAAUAGGAAUACUGGAAGACGAUUCAGUUCCUUUUCCGCACAAAGAAGCUGCACAAUGACAACGUCACCGAAGCAGAAAAAAUAGUCGUCGAAUCCCAUCCGAUCAUCGUUCUUCCGCGCCGUGGACUGGCCCACGUCCACCGGCCAGGGCUAUAAAGAAUAUUUCAGAUGGCAGGGGUCAGAACUAAAUUCGCACUCAUCCGGCCAUAGGAAGAAACAGAAAUUUAACAUCCGGGCCGACGGAGCUGAUACCUAAUCCUUACAGGCGAUGGCGCUUCGACCGCUGGUUGCGUUUUCGGUUAGUUGUUGCUGCCGGAAGAGCUGUCUGGUGAGACAAAAAAAAAAUCGAAGGCAGUGAGUAUAAUAAAUGAUAUACGA